rnacentral:rRNA from 1 species
GGGUCACCUCCCACCCGUGUUUAUUUUACCUUGUUGCUUCGGCGGGCCCGCCUUAACUGGCCGCCGGGGGGCUUACGCCCCCGGGCCCGCGCCCGCCGAAGACACCCUCGAACUCUGUCUGAAGAUUGUAGUCUGAGUGAAAAUAUAAAUUAUUUAAAACUUUCAACAACGGAUCUCUUGGUUCCGGCAUCGAUGAAGAACGCAGCGAAAUGCGAUACGUAAUGUGAAUUGCAAAUUCAGUGAAUCAUCGAGUCUUUGAACGCACAUUGCGCCCCCUGGUAUUCCGGGGGGCAUGCCUGUCCGAGCGUCAUUGCUGCCCUCAAGCACGGCUUGUGUGUUGGGCCCCGUCCUCCGAUCCCGGGGGACGGGCCCGAAAGGCAGCGGCGGCACCGCGUCCGGUCCUCGAGCGUAUGGGGCUUUGUCACCCGCUCUGUAGGCCCGGCCGGCGCUUGCCGAUCAACCCAAAUUUUUAUCCAGGUUGACCUCGGAUCAGGUAGGGAUACCCGCUGAACUUAAGCAUAUCAAUAAGCGGAGGA